rnacentral:rRNA from 1 species
AAUACCAGCUCCAUUAGCGUAAUCUAAUAUUGCUUCGGUUAAAGUGUUCGUAGUUGGCUUUGGAGUCAAUGAUACCGUCUAUUUCUUAAGGUCUUGUCCUUUGCAGUGUUCACAGAAAUGCUUAUUUAUUAAGCUGUAUAUAUUACAACCUGCUAAGACAGUCUUUGGAUAAGUCGGUUCGUUGGCAAUAAAAAUGAGGACUACGUCCUCUUAAAUGCUCGGUCCUCGAUAUGCUCUUAAGUGAGUGUAUUUUGGUACCGGCAUUAUUCACUUUAAUAAAAGUAGAGUGUUUAUAACAGGUCUAUAAAUAUUUCGUGCGCUUUGCUAAAAACGUCUAGCACGAUAGAAUAAGACUUUGGUUCCCAAUAAUAAUAAAUAGGCUUUCCAAUAUGCGGGAACCCAAAGUAAUGAUUAAAAAGAACUGCCGGGGAUAUUAGUAUUGCAGCGCGAGAGGUGAAAUUCUGUGACCGUUGCAAGACUACCUAACGCGAAAGCAUUUAUCAAGAAUGUUUUUAUUAAUCAUGAUCUAAAGUUAGAGGAUCGAAGGCGAUCAGAUACCGCCCUAGUUUUAACCAUAAACUAUGCCAUCUUGCAACACGCUUGUGUACGAUUAAAAGAGCAAAGCGUGAUCCCCCGGGAAACCAAAGUUUUUUAAGUCCCGGGGGGAGUAUAGUUGCAAAGCCGAAACUUAAAGGAAUUGACGGAAGGCACCACCAAGAGUGGAGCC